AGAAGACUUUGAGUGCACGCCAAGGGAAAGGUGAAUCAGUUGAUGUAGGCAAUAAAGAUUCAGAACAUGCUGAAAUUGAAUGAAACAUAUAUUCAAUUGAAGAACUGUGAUACAAUGGAAUAUUUGUGAUUGCAAAAACGUCAAACUGGAGACGAGUAAGGCAUUCUCCUCUUAUGUGCAGAACCCUCUGUCCCCUCUUUUGCAAUCUGUCUUGUCCCCUGGUAUAUCAUUGUCCGUGUGAUGGUGCCUUGAGGAGCAUCCGAGUUCAAAGAUCCGGCCCUCGCCAUCGGGACCAACGGGGUCGUCGCCAAGUACAUCUGGAUGAUAUGAAGCAUUUGGCACCGGCGCUCACCUCUUUGACAAGCCACGCUUUUUGGGUUUGCUUGCAGUUCAGAUAGUUGAACUACUGACUAUUGACCGAAGAAAAAUUAU